UACGGAGGAUCCAAGCGUUAUCCGGAAUCAUUGGGUUUAAAGGGUGCGUAGGUGGGUUGGUAAGUCAGUGGUGAAAUCCCCGAGCUUAACUUGGGAACUGCCAUUGAUACUAUCAGUCUUGAAUAUCGUGGAGGUUAGCGGAAUAUGUCAUGUAGCGGUGAAAUGCUUAGAUAUGACAUAGAACACCAAUUGCGAAGGCAGCUGGCUACACGAAUAUUGACACUGAGGCACGAAAGCGUGGGGAUCAAACAGG
rnacentral:rRNA from 1 species